AGGGGGAGCCCCACCGCCCCGCCUGAAAGCUGGUUUUCUGGCCGCCAGGACUUGAGAGUUUCUUUAAAGGUGCAGCUGCGCGCGUGCACACGUGCAUCUGUGGCGGCUGUGAAUGGACUUGAAUUGCCCGGAGGAAGAAUGAAUGGGAUGUAAACGUGAGAGGAAAAGGGUUUCCUGCUUCCUAGCGGUCCUGGAAAGGGAGAGAUCCUGAGCGCUGAGAGUGACGGACACUCCCCGCCGGCACAGCGCGGGCGUGCCCUGAGCUGCUGGAAGAACAGGCAGGCAGCAGCUGGGCGCGAUGGGGCAGGUGCACGGCGCGCGUGCGCGCUCGGAGCCGACUCAGAGUGGCCGAGGCGGCGGCGCGCCCAGGGCGGUGGGCCCUGUUGCCCAUGGCCGGGUGUUGUCUGGAGCAGAGCCCAGAAGUCUCAUCUCCUGGAAGCUUGUGGUUGUUUUAUUCACGGUGUUACUGCCAGGAAGUCAUUUCAUCUUCUGUAACUAGACUCAGGGAGCUUAAAGAGCCUGUUCUCCCUUCUCUCAAAAGUGGCUUACGGUUGCCCCCACCUGGAAGAUAUUGAAAGCUAUUCACACAGAAUAUAAACUGGAUUUUCUCCUUCCCUUCGCCUUUUUUUCUUAAUUUCAUUUAACAUAUAAUUUAUUUUUGAAUAUAUAAAUCUGGAAAUUUUUGUGCAUUAAGAUUUCCAGAAAAUUGUUUGAUAAGCAGUGACAUUAUUCCCAUACCUCGAGUCCAAAUACAUUUCGAAAUUAGGAGCAGAAAAUAAAAGCCUGUUGGUAAUUGAUUCAAUAUUUUAUACUGUGAAAUAACUAAUGACUUUUAAUUAUCUGAUAAAAUAUAAACUAGUGCCCAAAGUUGAAAUCAACUAACUGAAGGUCUUUCUGCCUUUGGCUACAAAGAUAUAUAUCGUAUACACUUAUUAGAAAGUAUUAUAUGAUUUUGAAUUUAGCUGUUUGAUAUUGUUGGAAUUACUGAAAUGUUCACAUACAGUCACAUGAGAUGAAAAAGAAUAUAUAUCUAUCUGAUUUUGUAGCUACAAAGAUGAAUUGCCAGUAUAUGUUGCAAGUGGGUUAGAUGCCUUUUUUUUUUAAGAAGGAAAACUGUUCCAAAUGUAUUUUAUAUGAAAACAUUCUUUAUUCCAUCUUUUGAAAUUUGGAAUAAGACAAAGUUUUCAUGCUUAAAAAUCACAGAAUCUACUGAAGGUAUGCUAUUAUUCCUCGAGUAUUUAUGCAAGCUGUCUGCAUGAUAUCCUGACACUAUUCUAUUAAUUGAACUUGAAUCGAGCAUUUGUAUCUAUCAUAGGAGUGAAGCAAUUUAUUGGCCAUUGAUAAGUGGUUUGGCUGCAAUGUAGAAACUACAGUAUGAAGUGUUUUAUGUCUGCAUUGUCUUAAUAAUAAAAACAAGAGGUAUUUAUAGAAAUA
rnacentral:lncRNA from 1 species